CAGAAAAUAUACUAAAAGAAUUAGGAAAUCUGACAAACUUGCAUUGGGCAGGUUGGAUUUGGAAAAUAAUAGAUUAACUGGCCAAAUACCAUCUUCCCUUGGCAAUCUAAAUAAGCUCCAAUUCUUGACACUAAGUAAAAACAAUCUCAAUGGCACUAUACCAGAGUCACUUGGCAAUCUCCCAAGCUUGAUCAAUGUCAUGUUCGAUUCAAAUGAUCUUAGUGGUGAAAUCUGGGAGCAGUUGUUCAAA